GACGAACGCUGGCGGCAUGCUUAACACAUGCAAGUCGUACGGGAAGGCCCGUUAGGGGUUACACGAGUGGCGAACGGGUGAGUAACACGUGAGUAACCUGCCCACGACUUUGGGAUAACGCUAGGAAACUGGUGCUAAUACUGGAUAUGUGCCCCUGCUGCAUGGUGGUGGUUGGAAAGCUGCGGCGGUUGUGGAUGGACUCGCGGCCGAUCAGAUUGUUUGUGAGGUAGUGGCCCACCAAGUCGGCGACGGGGAGCCGGCCUGACAGGGUGACCGGCCACAGUGGGAGUGAGAUACGGACCAGACUCAUACGGGAGGGAGCAGUGGGGAAUAUUGCACAAGGGGCGCAAGACUGAUGCAGCAACGAAGCGUGCAGGAUGACGGAAUGCGGGUUGUAAACCGCUUUCAGCAGCGACGAAGCUUUUUGUGACGGUACCUGGAGAAGAAGCACCGGCUAACUCCGUG
rnacentral:rRNA from 1 species